AUACUUACCUGGCUCCGAGAUCCCCGUGAUCAAGAAGGCGGGGGCUCCGGGUUGAGGCCCUUCCAUUGCACUCCGGGAGGAGCUGAAGCCCGCCACUAUUCCAAACUGGAAUAGAUGGGGAGUGAAAUUUUUGGUAGCGGGGGGCUGCGUUCGCGCCGCUCCCCA
rnacentral:snRNA from 1 species